GUCGUCGGUGCGCCCAGUCACGGCCGGA
rnacentral:sRNA from 1 species